rnacentral:rRNA from 1 species
CUACGGGAGGCUGCAGUGGGGAAUAUUGGACAAUGGGGGAAACCCUGAUCCAGCGAUGCCGCGUGAGUGAAGAAGGCCUUCGGGUUGUAAAACUCUUUUAUAGGUGAAGAUGAUGACGGUAACCUAUGAAUAAGCUCCGGCUAACUUCGUGCCAGCAGCCGCGGUAAUAAGAAGGGAGCAAGCGUUGUUCGGAAUAACUGGGCGUAAAGGGCGCGUAGGCGGUCUGAUAAGUUUGAUGUGAAAGCCCUGGGCUUAACCUGGGAAUUGCAUUGAAUACUGUUGGACUAGAGUAUUGAAGGGGAUGAUGGAAUUAUGCAUGGAGAGGUGGAAUUCAUAGAUAUGCAUAGGAACACCGGUGGCGAAGGCGAUCAUCUGGGCAAUUACUGACGCUGAGGCGCGAGAGCGUGGGGAGCAAACAGGAUUAGAUACCCUCGUAGUC